CCUANGGGGGGCAGCAAUUAGGAAUUUUGCGCAAUGGGCGAAAGCCUGACGCAGCGACGCCGCGUGACCGAUGACGUCCUUCGGGAUGUAAAGGUCUUUUCUGGGGGAAGAAAAAAAUGACGGUACCCCAGGAAUAAGCCCCGGCUAACUACGUGCCAGCAGCCGCGGUGAUACGUGGGGGGCGAGCGUUGUCCGGAUUUACUGGGCGUAAAGCGCGCGUAGGCGGCCUACUAAGUCGAGUGUGAAAGGUUGGAGCUCAACUCCAAGACUGCGCUUGAUACUGGUGGGCUAGAGGCAAGGAGAGGGAAGUGGAAUUCCUGGUGUAGCGGUGAAAUGCGUAGAUAUCAGGAGGAACACCCGUGGCGAAGGCGGCUUCCUGGCCUUGUUCUGACGCUGAGGUGCGAAAGCCAGGGGAGCGAACGGGAUUAGAUACCCCANUANUC
rnacentral:rRNA from 1 species